GAUGAACGCUGGCGGCGUGCCUAAUACAUGCAAGUCGAGCGAACGGACGAGAAGCUUGCUUCUCUGAUGUUAGCGGCGGACGGGUGAGUAACACGUGGAUAACCUACCUAUAAGACUGGGAUAACUUCGGGAAACCGGAGCUAAUACCGGAUAAUAUUUUGAACCGCAUGGUUCAAAAGUGAAAGACGGACUUGCUGUCACUUAUAGAUGGAUCCGCGCUGCAUUAGCUAGUUGGUAAGGUAACGGCUUACCAAGGCAACGAUGCAUAGCCGACCUGAGAGGGUGACCGGCCACACUGGAACUGAGACACGGUCCAGACCCCUACGGGAGGCAGCAGUAGGGAAUCUUCCGCAAUGGGCGAAAGCCUGACGGAGCAACGCCGCGUGAGUGAUGAAGGUCUUCGGAUCGUAAACCUCGGUUAUUAGGGAAGAACAUAUGUGUAAGUAACUGUGCACAUCUUGACGGUACCUAAUCAGAAAGCCACGGCUAACUACGUG
rnacentral:rRNA from 1 species